rnacentral:rRNA from 1 species
GGAUAGGCCACUUCGGUGGUACUCGAGCGGCGAACGGGUGAGUAACACGUGAGUAAUCUGCCCCUGGCUUUGGGAUAGCCACCGGAAACGGUGAUUAAUACCGGAUAUGACAUGUGACCGCAUGGUUGUGUGUGGAAAGUUUUUCGGCCAGGGAUGUGCUCGCGGCCUAUCAGCUUGAUGGUGAGGUAAUGGCUCACCAUGGCUUCGACGGGUAGCCGGCCUGAGAGGGUGACCGGUCACACUGGGACUGAGACACGGCCCAGACUCCUACGGGAGGCAGCAGUGGGGAAUAUUGGACAAUGGGCGGAAGCCUGAUCCAGCAACGCCGCGUGAGGGAUGACGGCCUUCGGGUUGUAAACCUCUUUCGGUGGGGACGAAGCGCAAGUGACGGUACCCACUAAAGAAGCACCGGCCAACUACGUGCCAGCAGCCGCGGUAAUACGUAGGGUGCGAGCGUUGUCCGGAAUUAUUGGGCGUAAAGGGCUCGUAGGCGGUUUGUCGCGUCGGGAGUGAAAACGCCGUGCUUAACACGGCGCUUGCUUCCGAUACAGGCAGACUAGAGGUAUGCAGGGGAGAACGGAAUUCCUGGUGUAGCGGUGAAAUGCGCAGAUAUCAGGAGGAACACCGGUGGCGAAGGCGGUUCUCUGGGCAUUACCUGACGCUGAGGAGCGAAAGUGUGGGGAGCGAACAGGAUUAGAUACCCUGGUAGUCCACACCGUAAACGUUGGGCGCUAGGUGUGGGGUCCAUUCCACGGAUUCCGUGCCGCAGCUAACGCAUUAAGCGCCCCGCCUGGGGAGUACGGCCGCAAGGCUAAAACUCAAAUGAAUUGACGGGG